rnacentral:rRNA from 1 species
UGGGGGAUAUUGCACAAUGGGCGAAAGCCUGAUGCAGCGACGCCGCGUGGGGGAUGAAGGCCUUCGGGUUGUAAACUUCUUUUGCUCUGAACAAGGCAUGCUAAUGGGUGUGUUGAGUGUAGGGGUUGAUUAGCGCCGGCUAACUACGUGCCAGCAGCCGCGGUAAUACGUAGGGCGCGAGCGUUGUCCGGAAUUAUUGGGCGUAAAGGGCUUGUAGGUGGCUGGUUGCGUCUGUCGUGAAAGCUCAUGGCUUAACUGUGGGUUUGCGGCGGGUACGGGCUGGCUUGAGUGCAGUAGGGGAGGCUGGAAUUCCUGGUGUAGCGGUGGAAUGCGCAGAUAUCAGGAGGAAUACCGGUGGCGAAGGCGGGUCUCUGGGCUGUUACUGACGCUGAGGAGCGAAAGCAUGGGGAGCGAACAGG